rnacentral:rRNA from 1 species
AAUCAACGCUGGCGGCGUGCCUAACACAUGCAAGUCGAACGCGAAAGUGGAGCAAUCCAUGAGUAGAGUGGCAAACGGGUGAGUAACACGUGGGUGACCUGCCUUCGAGCGGGGGAUAACGUCCCGAAAGGGACGCUAAUACCGCAUAACAUGCCGCCUUUUAACAGGUGGACAUCAAAGCUGGGGAUCGCAAGACCUAGCACUUGAAGAGGGGCCCGCGCCUGAUUAGCUAGUUGGUGGGGUAACGGCUCACCAAGGCAACGAUCAGUAUCCGGCCUGAGAGGGCGGACGGACACACUGGGACUGAGACACGGCCCAGACUCCUACGGGAGGCAGCAGUGGGGAAUUGUUCGCAAUGGGCGCAAGCCUGACGACGCAACGCCGCGUGGAGGAUGAAGACCUUC